CAGUAGCCGCGGUAAAACGGAGGGGGCUAGCGUUGUUCGGAAUUACUGGGCGUAAAGCGCACGUAAGCGGCUUUGUAAGUUAGAGGUGAAAGCCCGGAGCUCAACUCCGGAAUUGCCUUUAAGACUGCAGAGCUAGCAGGUGAGAGAGGUGAGUGGAAUUCCGAGUGUAGAGGUGAAACUCGUAGGUAUUCGGAAGAACACCAGUGGCGAAGGCGGCUCACUGGCUCAUACUGGACGCUGAGGUGCGAAAGCGUGGGGAGCAAACAGGAUUAGAUACCCCCGUAGUCCCUGUCUCUUAUAU
rnacentral:rRNA from 1 species